rnacentral:hammerhead_ribozyme from 1 species
AUCCAACUGACGAGUUCCAAAGAGGACGAAACGCGCGUCCUGGAU